rnacentral:rRNA from 1 species
GACGAACGCUGGCGGCGUGCUUAACACAUGCAAGUCGAACGGAAAGGCCUCUUUCGGGGGGUACUCGAGUGGCGAACGGGUGAGUAACACGUGAGUAACCUGCCCUUGACUUUGGGAUAACUUCAGGAAACUGGGGCUAAUACCGGAUAGGAGCUCCUGCUGCAUGGUGGGGGUUGGAAAGUUUCGGCGGUUGGGGAUGGACUCGCGGCUUAUCAGCUUGUUGGUGGGGUAGUGGCUUACCCAGGCUUUGACGGGUAGCCGGCCUGAGAGGGUGACCGGCCACAUUGGGACUGAGAUACGGCCCAGACUCCUACGGGAGGCAGCAGUGGGGAAUAUUGCACAAUGGGUGGAAGCCUGAUGCAGCAACGCCGUGGGCGGGAUGACGGCCUUCGGGUUGUAAACCGCUUUCGCUCAUGACGAAGCUUUGUGUGACGGUAGUGGGUAAAGAAGCACCGGCUAACUACGUG